GUACCGGUGAUAUUCUGACUGCGGCUCCUUCGCCGACCAGCGGCCGGUUAACUACCGCAGCGAAACAGGAACAUUCCGCCUGUCGGAUACGUUUAAAAACCACUGAAGCGCCUCGAUAUCCGGUGAUUCGACAUGUUUGUGUCGUUCGUCUGCGGACUAAUGUUCGCUAGCGCUCCGUCGACAGACGGACGGUGAGGAUUAGCCAGGAUGGUGAGGACCGCUGAAGUGAAAUGUUUCUCAGUGUACCCACCAUUGUUGACUCGGACCGGAAGAAGAGGGGCACCGCAGCGUCAUACCGGAAGUAAAUAGCUUACGGGGCUGCUCGGUCACAGCCACGGCCGCGCCGACACCGCUAACUAGCGGUGGAACGGAGGAACUGCAUGUUCAAGAAAGAAUAAGAAGGAAAGAAACAGACAAAUAUGUGCAGCUCUGAUGAGUACGAAGAAAACCAGACUGAAAUCCCGACGCAGGCACUAAACUCAACUUCUCUCAUCACCAUUAAUAUAUAUUUUGCAAAUCGAUUUCCAAACAUCUGGAUCCAUCAUCUUUGUAAAUUCACCAUUUCACUUAAGUUAAGAAUGAAGCGUGAGGAGAAAGGGGUACAAAUGACAUCACAAACGACUUUCCCACAAGGUGGAGAGCUUUUAUUUUACAUAAAAAAGGGUGCAAACUGGAGUUUCCCUUUAGGUGUGGAGGGAAUAAAAAGUGAUUUUAUAAGGUUCAUGUGUGACACAUUGUAUUUAUAUGAAUUCAAGGAGGGGA